AAUGAACGCUGGCGGCGUGCCUAACACAUGCAAGUCGAACGAUGAUAGAGAGCUUGCUCUCUUGAUUAGUGGCGCACGGGUGAGUAUACCAUAGAUAAUGUACCUCUUAGUUCGGGAUAGCCACUGGAAACGGUGAUUAAUACCGGAUACUCCUUCUUGUCUUAAGGCAAGUCGGGAAAGUUUUUUCGCUAAGAGAUCAGUCUGUGUCCUAUCAGCUAGUUGGUGAGGUAAUGGCUCACCAAGGCAAUGACGGGUAUCUGGUUUGAGAGGAUGAUCAGACACACUGGAACUGAGACACGGUCCAGACUCCUACGGGAGGCAGCAGUGAGGAAUAUUGCACAAUGGAGGAAACUCUGAUGCAGCAACGCCGCGUGGAGGAUGACGCAUUUCGGUGUGUAAACUCCUUUUAAGAGGGAAGAUAAUGACGGUACCUCUUGAAUAAGCACCGGCUAACUCCGUGCCAGCCGCCGCCGUAACAC
rnacentral:rRNA from 1 species